rnacentral:rRNA from 1 species
GUGGGGAAUCUUCCGCAAUGGACGAAAGUCUGACGGAGCGACGCCGCGUGAGUGAAGAAGGCCUUCGGGUCGUAAAGCUCUGUCAUCAGGGACGAAUGGCCGGUGGAGUGGAAAGCCACCGGAUUGACGGUACCUGAGAAGGAAGCCACGGCUAACUACGUGCCAGCAGCCGCGGUAAUACGUAGGUGGCAAGCGUUGUCCGGAAUUAUUGGGCGUAAAGCGCGCGCAGGUGGGAUCUUAAGUCCAUUUUGAAAGUUCGGAGCUCAACUCCGUGAUGGGAUGGAAACUGGGAUUCUUGAGUACCGGAGAGGAAAGUGGAAUUCCAAGUGUAGCGGUGAAAUGCGUAGAGAUUUGGAAGAACACCAGUGGCGAAGGCGACUUUCUGGACGAUGUCUGACGCUGAGGCGCGAAAGCUAGGGGAGCAAUCAGGAUUAGAAACCCCAGUAGUCC